rnacentral:lncRNA from 1 species
AGUGUGUUUGAUUCAUUUUUCUAUUGUCAGUACCUACCAUAGAGCAUGAACUAUAGACUUGUGAAGUGAGGUUAUUAGCUAUAAAAUUGGCAUUCUUUAUGAAAAACAUGGGAAUUUGUUUCUGGAUCUGAAUGAAGUCCUUUUGCAUGAAGCAGGCAGGAGGAGGAGGAGUAAGGACCAAUCUGUAUGCCUCACUGGGUUGAAGAUAGUCAAAGAUUGCUGAAUGGGUGAAUGGGAGA